GAUGAACGCUGACAGAAUGCUUAACACAUGCAAGUCUUUGGCGAAGCUGUGCUUGCACAGCCUAGCCAAGGCGGACGGGUGAGUAACGCGUAAGGAACUUGCCCUCAAUUCAGGGAUAACAGCGGGAAACGACGGAUAAGCCCGGUAAAGUCAAGCGGAACUAAUUUCAAGCCGGAUGAAAAGAGAUGCUGCAGGAGAGCCUUGCGUCCUAUUAGCUUGUUGGUGGGGUAACGGCCCACCAAGGCGAUGAUAGGUAGCCGGCCUGAGAGGGUGGACGGCCACAAGGGGACUGAGAUACGGCCCUUACUCCUACGGGAGGCAGCAGUGGGGAAUAUUGGACAAUGGGGGCAACCCUGAUCCAGCAAUUCUGUGUGCACGAUGAAGGUUUUCGGAUUGUAAAGUGCUUUCAGCAGGGAAGAAAAAAAUGACGGUACCUGCAGAAGAAGCGACGGCUAAAUACGUG
rnacentral:rRNA from 1 species